AACAAAAUUAUUCUGGCCUUAGCAUAAGUACCUAUUUCUAAUUAUUUUUUAAAUUUGAUUUCGAUUGUUUCGAUAAAGUGAGCGUUUUCAUUUCUUAAAUAACUUUUAUCCAGAGCUUCUUAAACUGUGAAAGCUUGUAGUUAGCUAUAAUUUUCUUCAAGUUAUCUUGCAUCCAGAAGAUGGACAUAUACAUUUUUCCCGAAAAAUUAAGGACUUCCUUCCGGAAUUUUAAAAACUUAAUUCACGUGGACGAAGUCACCGGGCAUCAUCUAGUAUAUCUAUAUCAUCUUGGCGUAUUUAAGCUGUAUUUAAGUACCAAACAACGACUUCAUGUUUGGAUUUCAAGUCCUAACUCCUCAACCCUGAUGAUGCAAGGUACAGCAACCCUAAAUUUUAGUGAUUCAGGAACAGCGGACGGUGCAAUAUUAGUUUAGGUAACUACCAAGCACAGACUAAUCCUGAUGAUGCAAGGUACUGAAGUCCCAAGCGGUGAGGAUUCGAGAAUUUCUGAUGGUAAAUUAAUAUUUUAGGUAUUAAACAAAAGCUUUAUGAUUACACUCCAAGUCCGACCUCCUUAAACCUGAUGAUGCAGAGUACUCCUAAACCAUAGAGAUUCAGGAACUGGUGAAUUCCUGGUGAAAUAAUAUUGUGAAUGCCAAGAAGGUCAUUGAUGCCAAGCAUAGACUUUGUUAUUGAAUUCCAAGUUAUCUGCUAUCUUAGAC